GGAGGGUCAUUGCUCAGUAGCAGAGCAUCCGCCUCGCAAGCAAAAGAUCCCAAGUUCAAUCCCUGGCAUCUCCA